rnacentral:rRNA from 1 species
UCGGCAAUGGGGGCAACCCUGACCGAGCGAUGCCGCGUGAGCGAUGAAGGCCUUCGGGUUGUAAAGCUCGAAAGUGGGGAGAAACGCCGAAAGGCUUGAUCUAUCCACAGUAAGCUCGGGCUAAGUUCGUGCCAGCAGCCGCGGUAAGACGAACCGAGCGAACGUUGUUCGGAAUCACUGGGCUUAAAGGGCGCGUAGGCGGGCUGUCAAGUUUGGGGUGAAAUCCCGCGGCUCAACCGUGGAACUGCCUCAAAUACUGACGGUCUCGAGGGAGAUAGGGGCGAGCGGAACUAAUGGUGGAGCGGUGAAAUGCGUUGAUAUCAUUAGGAACUCCGGUGGCGAAGGCGGCUCGCUGGAUCUCUUCUGACGCUGAGGCGCGAAAGCUAGGGGAGCAAACGGGAUUAGAUACCCCGGUAGUCCUAGCCCUAAACUAUGGGUACUAGAUUGUGGACUUUCAUGGGUUCACAGUCGAAGCAAAAGUGUUAAGUACCCCGCCUGGGGAGUAUGGUCGCAAGGCUGAAACUCAAAGGA